GGCUCGUUGGUGUAGUUGGUUAUCACGUCAGUCUAACACAGCAUCUUCAUGAUGGUUAGUACACUGAAGGUCCGGAGUUCAAACCUCCGAUGAGUCA
rnacentral:tRNA from 1 species